rnacentral:rRNA from 1 species
GAUGAACGCUGGCGGCGUGCCUAAUACAUGCAAGUCGAGCGAACGGACGAGAAGCUUGCUUCUCUGCUGUUAGCGGCGGACGGGUGAGUAACACGUGGAUCACCUACCUCUAAGACUGGGAUAACUUCGGGAAACCGUAGCUAAUACCGGAUCAUAUGUUGAACCGCAUGGUUCAAAAGUGAAAGACGGUCUUGCUGUCUCUUAUAGAUGGAUCCGCGCUGCAUUAGCUAGUUGGUAAGGUAACGGCUUACCAAGGCAACGAUGCGUAGCUGACCUGAGAGGGUGAUCAGCCACACUGGAACUGAGACACGGUCCAGACUCCUACGGGAGGCAGCAGUAGGGAAUCUUCCGCAAUGGGCGAAAGCCUGACGCAGCAACGCCGCGUGAGUGAUGAAGGUCUUCGGAUCGUAAAACUCUGUUAUUAGGGAAGAACAGAUGUGUAAGUAACUCUGCACAUCUUGACGGUACCUAAUCAGAAAGCCACGGCUAACUACGUG